GGGGGAUGGACUUGGUAGGGGGAGCUCACACCGUUUGCAGUUUUUAGUUUGUGAGGUUUCAUUGUAGGAAAGCUCAUGGAUGUUGUUAGAUGAGCCACUCUCACAUGAUGCCGGGGACGUAUGUGAUCGAGGGCUCUGUAAACUUCGCCGUUGACAGCUUAGUCUUGAACCUCCAUUGAAAGGUUUCUAGUGCGUCUUUUGCUUGAGAAUUGUGGCUUCUUCAAUCUGUUCUCGCUCUUCGUCUUCAGCUUGGCACUCCUGAAGAACACCUUUAUCGUUAUCACUUCGUCAAACUCCUCGUGUGUAUGUUGAGUGGAUGGACUGAGAUCAUUUUUAUGAAUUAUGCUUCCAUGUUUUUAUCUUUUUUGCCAUGGGACCAUUUUUAUAGGAUUAUAAUCUAUGAUUGUAAACCUAAACAUUUUCAUUUUUAAUGAAAUAUUUACAUUCUUAGCAAAAAAAAAAA
rnacentral:lncRNA from 1 species